UCCCUGGUGGUCUACUGGCUAGGACUUGGCACUUUCAUUGCUGCGGUCCAGGUUCAAUCCCUGGUCUGGGAA
rfam:Sus scrofa isolate TJ Tabasco breed Duroc chromosome 1, whole genome shotgun sequence.